rnacentral:lncRNA from 1 species
CCAUGUGUCAUUUGUAUUAAGAUAAAUUAUUUAAUUACUCUCUAUUAGUAAUUAAUUUUUCAUGAAGGAAUAUGUAAUGGUUAUUGUGAGAUAAAAUAGGAUCGCAUUAGGAGACCGAAUUUAUCCCAAAGAGUAUAUGACAACAUAUGACAUGUAUGACAAGGUCAUUGGAUGAGCUCUUAGUAAGGUUGCUUUCAUAAUGGUAUAUGAUGGGGAGAGCUCAGUUAUGAUACUUUAGUGGAAUGACUUUGUGACCAUAUGAUGUUGUUUUUAACAGACGAAGAGUUGGAACUUAAUUACAAAUUAUUUGAGCACUAACUAUGUAUGUCCA